rnacentral:tRNA from 1 species
AAAAAUUUAGUUAAACUUAUAACGUUAGUUUGUCAAACUAAAAUUAUUACCCACAUAAUUUUUA